UUGGUUUCAUCCUGGCUAUGAGUGAACGCUAAGAACGCGCCUAAUACAUGCGAGCAUGGACGAUGACUUUUUUUAAGUCAAAGUAGCGUAUGGGUGAGUAAUAUAUCAGAAUCUCUCUAUACAAUCUGGGAUAACUUUGUUGCGAGGUAAUUUAAUACCGGAUAAUAAAAAGAAAUUUGUUUUUGUUGUUAGAUGAGCUGGUACAAGAUUAAGUUGUUGGUGUGGUAACGGCGCACCAAGCUGUAUCUUUAGCUGGUCUGGAAGGUCGAUCAGCCACAUUGGACUUGAAAUAAUAGGACGAACUCCCUCGGGGGGCUGCAGUAAGGAAUUGUUGGCAAGUAGUUUUAAGCUAGACCGCGCGAUGUUUAGUUGGUGAAGAAGGCUACUAGGUUGUAAAACCAUUUCGGCGUAAAAGAUCACGACUUAGCGAAGUAAGAAGUCCUGACUAAUCCUGUGCCAGCAGUCGCGGUAAUACAGGGGGGGCUAGCGUUAUUCAGCAUUACUUUGGCGUAAAGGAUAUGUAGGCGGCUUACAUUUAAUUAGGUUCUAAAUGCUGGGGUUAACCCUCAGAAAUUUUCUUAAUAUUGGUUUGGUUUAGUGUAUAAACGAAGUUUAGGGAACUUCUAGUGUAGAGGUCCAAUUCUGCCAUAUUAGAAGGAAUGCCUGUUGGUGAAGACUCUUUUCUAGUUUAUACAGACGCUGAGGUAUGAAGGUGUAGGUAGCAAACGGGAUUUGAUACCCCGGUAGUCUAUACAGAAAACGAUGAGUGUUACUUGUUAAAAAUAGAAUUUUUGGUGAGUUAGCUAACGCGUUAAACACUCCGCCUGGGAAGUACGACCGCAAGGUUGAAACUUAAAGGAAAUGGCGGGGGCUUUUACAAGCGGUGGAGCGUGUGGUUCAAUUUGAUGUCCCGCAAAAACCUUACCUAGUUAAUUACAGUUAUAGAGAGCUAGUUCUUUUGUGCGAGCCUAGCAGGAGUAGUUGUGCGUUGCAUGGCUGUUAUCAGUUCGUGCCGUGAGGUGUCUGGUUAAUUCCAGUCGGUUACAACGAACGAAACCCCCGCUUAUGGUUGUUUAAUAAAUUUUAUUUAUUACUUGUUCCAUAGGACAGCUUACGAUAAGUCUGAUGAAGGAGGGGAUGAUAUCAAGCGUUAUGACCACUCUUAACUGGGCUACAAACGCGCUACAAAGGGAAUUACAAUUGGUUGCAAUAGCGUGAGCUGGAGCUAAUCCACAAAAGUUCCCAAAGUUCAGAUUGUUUUCUGCAAUUCGAAAGCAUGAAGGAGGAAUCGCCAGUAAUCGCGGAUUAUAACGCCGCGGUGAACAUGUGCUUGAGUCCUGUACACACCGCCCGUCACAGUUCGGAAGUCGGUUCACUUAAAGUUUGGUUACUUACUUUGUUUUUUAGUAAACACGGGAGGGUGCUAAUGUUUGUUGGGUCGGUAACUGAAAUGAAGUCGUAACAAGGUAACUGUAAGGGAACUUGUAGUUG
rnacentral:rRNA from 1 species